rnacentral:rRNA from 1 species
AGUGAACGCUGGCGGCAGGCCUAACACAUGCCAGUCGAGCGGCAGCGCGGGGGCAACCCUGGCGGCGAGCGGCGGACGGGUGAGGAAUUCGUCGGAAUCUGCCUUUUUGUGGGGGAUAACGUAGGGAAACUUACGCUAAUACCGCAUACGUCCUACGGGAGAAAGUGGGGGACCGCAAGGCCUCACGCAGAAAGAUGAGCCGACGACCGAUUAGCUAGUUGGUGGGGUAAAGGCCCACCAAGGCGACGAUCGGUAGCUGGUCUGAGAGGAUGAUCAGCCACACUGGGACUGAGACACGGCCCAGACUCCUACGGGAGGCAGCAGUGGGGAAUAUUGGACAAUGGGCGCAAGCCUGAUCCAGCCAUGCCGCGUGUGUGAAGAAGGCCUUCGGGUUGUAAAGCACUUUUGUCCGGAAAGAAAUCCCUGGAGCUAAUACCUUCGGGGGAUGACGGUACCGGAAGAAUAAGCACCGGCUAACUUCGU